rnacentral:ncRNA from 2 species
GUACCGGACACGGGGUGCCCCGCCAGGGGGCUGAGAUCACACCCGUCGAACCUGAACCAGUUCGUACUGGCGGAGGGAUGUCAGCCAUGUCACUG